rnacentral:rRNA from 1 species
GACGAACGCUGGCGGCGUGCUCAACACAUGCAAGUGGAGCGACGAACCAGGGCUUGCCCUGGGGCAGAGCCGCGAACGGGUGAGUAACACGUGGGUAACGUGCCCCAAUGAUCGGGACAACCCGGGGAACCCGGGCUAAUACCGAAUGUGCUCCCCUCACACCAGUGAGGGGUGGAAAGGAAGCUUCGGCCUCCGCAUUGGGAUCGGCCCGCGGCCCAUUAGCUUGUUGGUGAGGUAACGGCNCACCAAGGCUGCGAUGGGUAGCUGGUCUGAGAGGAUGAUCAGCCACACUGGGACUGAGACACGGCCCAGACUCCUACGGGAGGCAGCAGUGGGGAAUAUUGGACAAUGGGCGCAAGCCUGAUCCAGCCAUGCCGCGUGAGUGAUGAAGGCC